rnacentral:lncRNA from 1 species
GCAUCCUUCGCCCAGCUGCAUGCGCGAUAUGGACUAGAGGUGCAGGCCCUUAGGGACCAGUGGCGCGGAGGCCAGGCUGGCCUAGCCAGCUUAGAGGUCCCCUGGCAUCCUGGUUCUGCUGAGACUCAGACCCAGGACCAGCCAGCCCUAAGGGGACAUAGUGGGUGUAAGGUAUUACAUGUAUUCCGUUCCGUAGAAUGGCCUGUUUGCAAUCCAGGCUCCCAGGGGACAUAGGACAUAUGACUCAGGAGACCUGUGCCCCUGGGGUCAGAGGCACUUACUUCUGAGAAGAAUCUGGAACGUGAACCUGAGGGUGCUUCUAGAGCCCAAGGAGCUGGUUUCUAGAGAACUCCGCGCCAGGGUGGCCUGUGUGACCUUGACAGCCCCGAAGCUGGCCACAGGCCCAUGGGGCCCAGGGUUUACCUGGUGCCUCUCAAGGAUCUAAAGCUUGAACCUGGAAGCUGCUGUCUGGGCUGCUGUGGGCCUACACCAGUAGGUGGAAUGUGGGACUUGAACUGGAUAGGUCCCCCAGGCUCCUGGCCUGGAACCAGCUAAGUCAGGACUGUGUCCAGCUUUGUAGGUGAGCCCGGGCAGAAGCAGGGCCUCCCCUGACCUCGGUCCUGGCCUGGGACCCAGCUUCCUCCCAGUUUCACCUGGAGGAGACAGGCCUCCGACUGAUUCCAUGCCUGCAGCAGGGAGAGCCCAGGCACUGUCCCUAGCCACUGCAGGUGACCAGUGGGCCUCAGGACUGGGCCUACUUCUCUCUCACCACAGUGCUGGCUGUCUUCCAGAGGGUUGGGCAGGACAGCCGGCCCCACCUGGGUUCUUGUUUACAGUCCUCCUCAGUGCCCUGCCCUGAGGGGACACUCCAAUCGCUGCAUCCUAUGAACAGAUUUCACCCUGGCCCCUCCCUCUCCUCUGGGGGGUGGGGUGGCUGGGUCCCAUGGGUGCUUCUGUCUGUCGCCAGGGCCUCUUGGCUCUCUGCUGGCUCAGGGGCCAGGGCACUUGGCUGUGGGUUUUUCUUUGAAGUACAGAGGCUACUGUCUUCCACCAGUGAAGUUAAGUAGUCCAGUCUCACCCCUGCCACUUUUGUUACUGUUGGCUGCAAGGGGUGGCAUUGUCUCCAGGGAGCCAGGCCCUCGCAGGAGACACACGGGCGCCUAGCUGACUUGGCCCUGACUUGGCCCUCUGUCUCCUGAGCUCAGCUGUCUGCACAGGUGGUGCCUCUGGGGACUUGGUCUGUCUCCUCAACUCUCCCACUGGAGUCAUACGGCUGAGGUGUAGACUCUAGUCUGGGACGGGCUUACAAACUCUAAAGGUACGGGGCAGGAGGUGGGGGAGACAAGGGCAGAGUUGUUCCCUCUCCCCAAAGCACAAGGUGAACACCAGCUGAUUCUGGGGCUAGGAGAGUUAUCAAUCAUGGACAGGGUAUGAGGGCCAAAAUAAAAGCCGGUCGAG